rnacentral:lncRNA from 1 species
AAACUAACCCUCUUUCCCAUAAGACUGUCUCAAAUGACCCCCCCUCCCCCCACGCCUAAACACUCCUCUCAGACCAUCCCUCUUACAUCUCUCUACACCCCACCAUCCUCCACCUUAUUUUGCCGUCGGAAAUCGUCUCACGACGACAAAACACCUCCAUAUAUCCCCAAAUUAUCACCCUUCAAUCCCCAACACCCCCUAAAUCCAAAUCUACCUUCAAUUUUCCCAAAAUCCCCACCGAACUCAAUGAAUUAUAGAUAUGGAAAUCUCGGAAAAAUUAAAAUUUUUGCUCUUUCGUUUGCUUGAUCAUUUCGGCCAGUAUACGUUCAAGACUUCCAUCAAUAGAGAUUUGAUCCGUUUAUCGAUGGUCGAAUCUAGGUCAAAUUGCUGCUGACCGGCCAAUUUCUCCCGGAACCCCUUUCUGCCGACUCCUUUGAGCUCAAUAGGUAUACCCCUUUUUGUCUCUCUUCUCUUUUACUCUAUUAUUUCUUUUUCUUAACCUUGUGUUGCAUUGUCUUGUCCGAAUUUGUUUAGUCAGUUAAGGAUAGUCAUGCAGAAUUAGGAUUUAGAUGAACUAAUAUUUGCAUUCUAGAUUGAUAGUUAAUUACUUAUUUUAAUUAUUUUAAUUGGAAUUCAAAUCCGUUUGUUCAAAUGUCUUAGCUUAGUAUUGGGCCUGUCUUGCUUGACAGGCAAGCCCACUAGAUUAAAGUUCAAGAUUGGGGAGGAUUGAGAGUCUAGGUCUUGAUUUUGGGCAUGUUGUCCACAAGGCCCAGGCAUGUGAAUUUUGGCUAGGUGGUUAAAAACAUGGGUUUUAGGGGGCAUUUAAGGGAUUUAACUUGGGGAAUAAUCUUGUAACUAAUUUAUGUACUUCUAGAAAGGAAAAGAAGGAUCGAGUUGCAAUAAAACAAUGAAGAGGUCGAGGUGAGGAAGAAAAUACAGAAAAGAAAAAGGACUAAAAGAAAGGUAAAUAACAGAAAAACAACGGUAAGAAUCUGCUAUAAGAUAGUAUACUCUCCUCACACUUUUGGUCAUUCAUUCUCAUCUGCAGAUACAGACUCACUCAUCCUCACUCCUACGCAAAAGAGCUCACAGUCCCAAUUAGCUAAAUUAAUUUCUGAAUUCAAAAUUUGAGUUUCAGAUCUGGAAACCAAAAACUCCAAAAAAUACCAAAAACAAAAAACAAAACAAAAGAUUCAAAAAGAGAUUCAACAGCUGUCUUCGAUUUCUGCCUACAACUGCAUAAUUUUUGGCUUCUAAAGAUGGUUUGAUUUGAAGAAGUUGCUUGUGUUUACUGUUGCUGCCACUCUACCGUUAGCUGGGGUUUACCCAUAAGUGUUCUAGACCUUUAUUUGGUUUGAUUUGGCUGUUUAUUUGUAAUUAGGUAUGCUCUAAGUCUCUGUAUGAUCUGAUUUGUUUUUAUAAAUAAGCUAUGAUUGAUUAAUGUCAUAGGUUGGUUGAUUUGGGUGAUUUAGCAUGCUUGGUGCAUUAGUUGUGUUUGCAACAUGUUUACUCUCUUGAAAUCCAUGUUAUAUGUACUGAUUACAGUCAAAUGUGCUUAGAUCUAAUUUUUGAAUAUUAACAAAUGCUCUAUAGUUACUGGUAACUAGAAAUUAGGUUCCUAGAUGUAAGGUGACCUCCACAGGAGUGCAAUGGAGCUGGCCUUGGGCAUUAUUCUCGAAUUAUUACAUGUUUCUAUGUUUAAACCAUUAGCACAAAUAGUCAUUCGUGUAAUAGGGUGAAUCUACGUGUUUGUUUAAAUUUAGCAAUCGCAAGUGUAUUAUGAUUCAGUUUUAAAUAUGAAGGAUGGAAAGGUUUGAAGUGAGGAAAUUUCGGCUCUGUAAUUUUGAUUAGCUAAACUAAUGAGCUACUGUUUCUAAAACUCAAUUGUUGAAGAUGGCUUUUAUUGUGAAUUCAAAUUACGACCUCUGAUGUAAUGAACUGCUACUGUACUCUGAACUUCGAUGAUGAAAUGCUGAUAUUUAGGAAAAGUUUUUCUUAUACUUUCAUUUUCGUGAAUUUGUUGGAUUUGCUUUUGGGCCACUGUAUUUCUUAAAAUUAUUGGGCCUGAAUAUCUGGCCCAUGCGGAAGUUAUCAGGUCUAGGCUCAAUUUGAG